AUGCAUUUCAGACGCAUUCAGGUAAUGUGCAGAUUGGGAGGGCCGUUCGCGCUGUAAGCGAGUACAUGUGUACAUUACAUUACAAUAACAAUCAAUGCAUUUACUAGUGUUUACCGUUAUGAAGAAGAUGAUUUUUGUAAGUUCCUACUAUAUACAUUUUAGAAAAACACAAGUUUUAUCAGUAUUGGUCCAGAGGUUUAAGAGGAUUUAUUGUUGAAGUAAAAAUGUUCGCACACGCGCACAACAGUUGACGAUAGACGACAAGUAUUGUUUGUUUUUUUGCAAAUUAGCAAGCUGGUACCAUCUAUAUUCCAAACACCCAAACCAAGCUGAUAAAUCAGGCAUUUCAAUUCGUCUUUGAAAAAACAUUAAUACAACCAAUGAACUCAGUUUUGAGUGAUAAAUGUUUUUAACAGCUAACUGUGAUUGUAAAAGCAACUUUGCACAUCCCACCUCUUAUCUGCACAUGAACAUGUACUUUUAAUAGCGAGCUCGCUGAGCCGCCGUAGGCGGCUCGACAGCUCGCAUUACGUUAACACGUGUAUUGGACUGUAGAUCUACACAGGUUGUUGUUUUGAAAAGUUUGGUAUCUUCGCGCGCAACCGAACCUGAUAUCCGAAACCGGAACUGGAAAUUUUGGAAGGACUUCCCCGUUCGAUGACGUCAUCACAAAAUGUAUCCAAGUAACGAAUGACGUCACCGUUUUGUGUGUACAUAGCAAGUGUCAACACCGACCGCUACUCGCACUUUUUAUUAAAAAUGAUGACAAAACAAGUAAGUGCUAUUAUUUAUUGGACGAUUGCCAUUGAGGAACAAACACGCGAUUGGUUCGGCAUGUACUCAGGUACCAAACUUUUUCAAACAACAAUCUGCACAGUCAAAUACUCGAUUUCAUAAUCAUUUCACAUAGUGUUUUUCUUUCACUGUCUAAGCCAUGCAUUACAUUUAAAUUUAAAGGUGGUAAAUCACAUUUGAGUAUCAUUUCAACAUGACCAAACUUUAUUAUCUGAUAUUGUACAUAUCCAAGGUGCCUGAACCACGUGACUUUUUCGGCUAUGUGUGGGACAAUCGGAUGUAAACAAAACGUCGCUUCAGAAUGCCUUUGUUUGCGAACAGUGUGGCAGAGAGGUCAAAACACGGUCGGGGAUCUCCUAACACAAAGCCACCCACGCACGGACAGGAAAAAAGUUCCGUUGGGCAAACUUUUUCUUGUUUGUUUCUAUAAAAUAUAUUGUUACAAAAUGUUGAAUUUUCAGUGAAUUGUUACUGCCGACUAAUGCACUUGUUUAAUACACAAAAUCGUAAGGAUUGUUUGUGCAAGAUGUCAUGUGAAUAUUAUUGCAACAAAACUACAAAAAGUGUUAGUUGUGUGUUUUUUAGCAGGAAUGUGUAGGCAUUUUUGACUGUAACGAAUUUAAUAAAUAAGCAUAAAGAGAUCAUAAGCAUUUUUAAACAAAUAGACACUAGGAUCAAUGACAUUUUUUUCUGGAAAAUCAUGUAUUUGUAUGUAAAUCCUAUUGAGCUAUCUGAUAUAUCACACAUGCUAUUUUUUAAGUUUAACAGUUUAUAUCAGUUGUAUUUUGUUCUUUUCAGGGAGAUUAAAGUAUUUUUGGAAGCACCUUCAAGAGACGUACUGAUAUCUUGAUCAAUGAAAAGUUGUCAUAUACAAACAUGUAUAGUAAAUGUUCCAAAGUUUAAAUGACUGUUUGAUUUAUUACCAGAUGGUGCAAGUAUUGCAGGGAAAGAAAACAAUCAAAGUAAACAUUACAUAAAAAUUUGACAUUUCAACAAAUUGAACAACAUUAUAUGAUUUAAUGUUAAUUACUUGGUGCAGUGGUAACAAGAUCUUGCAGCGCCCUUUCAUGACCGGGGCGAAUGGGUAUUUUCAUUAAACAUCUCAAACUAUUGUCAGUUAUUCAGCUUUCAUUUGAAUUUGAGUAAAUUAAGUAUUGAUGCAAUUCAAUAUGUUUGUUGGCAUAAUGACCCCCACAAGUCAAGACGUUUUGGCGAUGAUCAUUUGUUAUGACUUAAUUGAAGCAUUCAUAUGUUUGAAUAGCAAGAUUUGCAAAUUCAUAAAUUGACUGAUUACAAUUUCUUUGUGAAUACUAAUGUACUUCUUUAUGUAUUUGGCGCUUUAAUUUCUAUUGUUACAUGUGCAUGCUAGUUAUAAAGUAAUGGUAUUAUUAA